UCCUGGUAUCUCAGAUGGUACAGAGUCAGUCUGCAAUUCAGAAGACCAGGGUUCAAUCCCUGGAUCAGGAA
rnacentral:tRNA from 1 species